rnacentral:rRNA from 1 species
UACAGAGGUGGCAAGCGUUGUUCGGAAUUAUUGGGCGUAAAGGGCGCGUAGGCGGCUUGGCAAGUGGAAGGUGAAAUCCCUCGGCUUAACCGAGGAACUGCCCUCCAAACUGCUUUGCUUGAGGCCGGGAGAGGUGAGUGGAAUUCCCAGUGUAGCGGUGAAAUUCGUAGAUAUUAGGAAGAACACCAGUGGCGAAGGCGGCUCACUGGCCCGGUACUGACGCUGAGGUGCGAAAGCGUGGGGAGCAAACAGG